rnacentral:rRNA from 1 species
UGGGGAAUAUUGGACAAUGGGCGAAAGCCUGAUCCAGCAAUGCCGCGUGAGUGAAGAAGGCCUUAGGGUUGUAAAGCUCUUUCGCCUGCGACGAUGAUGACGGUAGCAGGAGAAGAAGCCCCGGCUAAUUCCGUGCCAGCAGCCGCGGUAAUACGGAAGGGGCUAGCGUUGUUCGGAAUUACUGGGCGUAAAGCGCGCGUAGGCGGCUUGGCAAGUGAGGCGUGAAAGUCCUGGGCCCAACCUGGGGACGGCGCUUCAGACUGUUUGGCUUGAGUCCGGAAGAGGGUGGUGGAAUUCCGAGUGUAGAGGUGAAAUUCGUAGAUAUUCGGAGGAACACCGGUGGCGAAGGCGGCCACCUGGUCCGGAACUGACGCUGAAGUGCGAAAGCGUGGGGAGCAAACA